rnacentral:rRNA from 1 species
CCCCUAGAUGUUCUGGGCCGCACGCGCGCUACACUGAACAGUUCAACAAGUCUUAACCUUGGCCGAAAGGUCUGGGUAAUCUCCAAAUUUCGUCGUGAUGGGGAUAGAUUAUUGCAAUUAUUAAUCUUCAACGAGGAAUGCCUAGUAAGCGCAAGUCAUCAGCUUGCGUUGAUUACGUCCCUGCCCUUUGUACACACCGCCCGUCGCUCCUACCGAUUGAAUGGUCCGGUGAAGCGUUCGGACCGUGGCCUUUGGACGGUUCGCCGUCUGUUGGCUGCGGGAAGUUCGUUAAACCUUAUCAUUUAGAGGAAGGAGAANUCGUANCA